GAUGAACGCUGGCGGCGGGCUUAACACAUGCGAGUCGAACGGAAACGCCCUGCUAUUUUGGGGUUCUCGAGUGGCGAACGGGUGAGUAACACGUGAGUAACCUGCCCUACUCUUUGGGAUGAGUUAAGGAAACUGGGGCUAAUACCGGAUAGCAGCUCCUCCUCCAUGGUGGGGGUUGGAAAGUUUCGGCGGUUGGGGAUGGACUCGCGGCUGAUGAGCUUGUUAGUGGGGUAGUGGCUUACCAAGGCUUAGACGGGUAGCCGGCAUGAGAGGGUGACCGGGAACAAGGCGACUACGAUACGGCCCAGAGUCGUACGGGAGACAGCGGGGGGGAAUAUGGCCCAACGGGCCCAAGUCGGAUGCAGCAACGCCGCGUUCGGGAUGACGGUCUGCUGGUAGAAAACAGCAUUAGGUUGUUACGAAGCGUUUGUGACGGUACCGAAUGAAUAAGCACCGGCUAACUACGUG
rnacentral:rRNA from 1 species